UGAUGCCAACCUCUGGCCGAACACCACCACGUCACCUAGACCAUGGCACUGAGUGCCACAUCCAAACACCUGAAACACCUCCAGGGACAGCAACGCCACCACCUCCCUAGGCUGUCCAUUCCAGUUUCUAAUCAUCUUCCUGUGAAGAAACUCUUCCUAACGCUCAGCCUAAACCUCGCCUGUUGCAGCUUAAGCCUGUGUUCUCUCGCCCUGUCGCUCGCUGGUUGCCUGGGAGAAGAGGCCAACCUCCAGCUGGCUACACCCUUCUUUCAGGCAGUUGGAGAGGGUGAUAAGGUCAUCUUUGAGCCUCCUUUUCCCCAGGCUAAACUAACACAGCUCACUCCGCCGCUUCUCAUAGGACCUGUGCUCCAGCUUCCUUCUUUCCUCGCUCUUGACAGAGUGGCGGAUGCGACGGCGACGCCCGGGAUCGGGGAACCCCUAAGCACAACUGACAGCGACCCCGCGGUCCGGGGCGGGGAGAAGGCAGGAAGGGAGGCUGACCCUCGGAGAAACGCAGACUCCCACCAGGGCCGCGAUGAUGCUGUGCAAGGCUUAGCGCUGGCUCAGGCCGGCAGCUGCCGGGGUCCGCCGCCCUCCGCGCCCGCACCUCCCGGCUCUCGCUGCUCCGUCCCCGGGCCGGCGGCCGCGCCGCUCCCCCGGCCGCGCCGCGCGGCACCCACCUGCGGCGCCUCCCUUCAUGCCGCCGCCCCGGGCUGCCCCAGCGGCUGCUCCCGGCCCUCACCCUGCGCCAGGCGCCGCCGGGCAGUCGCCGAUUCCGCCCACCGACCCGGAGCCGUCCCCGGGAAGCUCUUCGCGCGCUUCCGCCCCCGGGGGAAGCGCGGCGGUGGUGGCGCUUUCCGCUUCCGCCCCGUGCCCUUGCCCGUCCGUGUCCCGGCGGGAUGUGGGCGGCGGCGGCGCGGGGCCUGGCACGGGCCGCGGUGCGAGCUGGCGCGGCACCGGCGGCGGCACGGGCCCGGCUGGCUGGGAGCUCCGCCGCUGAUACUCGCCCUACUGUCAGACCAAAAAAUGAAGUAGAGCAGAAGCAGCUAUGUGCUUUUGGGGAGUAUGUGGCUGAGAUUCUGCCCAAGUAUAUCCAGCAAGUACAGGUGACCUGUUUCAAUGAGCUGGAACUUCUGAUCCACCCAGAUGGGAUCAUUCCCGUCCUGACCUUCCUUCGUGAUCACACCAAUGCCCAGUUCAAAUCCUUGGCAGACCUGACUGCUGUUGAUGUCCCGUCUCGGCAGUUCCGCUUUGA